GCCAACAUUUACAAAAGCUCUUGGAGCUCUUCAAUAAUUUACAAGCCUGGAAAGCGGUCUCGAGACCAAGAAGCUUGAGCACUGCUAGCAUGUGAUCGUGGAGCCAUGUAGUGAGAUCGGCAUGGGUUUCUCCCUCGUCUCUCCAGCCUGGGGCAAUUUUAACCCAGGACUGCCUGGCAGGCCCUGGUUGACUCCUCGUGGCACAAUUGGUUUGUGUCUUACCUCUGCCACUAACUUGCCCAGAAUCUUGGGCAGCAUAUUUGACCUCUGUUCCUGCAUCUGUAGAAUGGGGAUGAUGCUCAUCAAGCCUGAGGGUCAUUGUUGAGGGAGAACGUGUGUCGGGUAAUUGACUCACUGGCAUGUGGAGAUGUGCUGUCAGUUACUACCGGAUGUUACUCUUCUGGUGGAUGUCCAAGUAGAGCGAAAGCUGCCUUUGGAUUAUAGCCGUGUUUCUCCACUUCAGCAUAAUUGACAUUGGGACUGGUGGGGACUGUCCUAUGCAUCGCAAGAUGUUUAGCAGUAUCUGUGGCCUUUAUAUGGUGCCAGUGGCACCCCCUGCCCCCGGUCACGACAAGGAAAAACGUCUCCAUACGUUGCCAGAUGUCCCCUUGGGCAGAAUCGCCUGAGUUUUAAGAACCCCUGGGUUAGGGGAGUCCAUUGAGUCCCAAGAAACUACAUUACCCAAUCAUCUGACCUACUGAGGUCCUAGGAUGCUGCACACGUUUAAAUACAGAGCGUGGGGAGGGAGAGGAGAGGUGACUCACAAAAGCUAGGGACCACCCCAGUUCAUCCCGUCUGACCCACUGGGAACUUACUUUGGUGUAUAAUGUGAGUUAGGAUCUAAUGCAGUAUUUUCAAAAUAAUUAAUGCAAAGUUUUUCAACCUCAACACAGUUAGCAUUUGGGGUUGGGUUAUUCUUUAUGGUUUGGGGAUCCUCCUGUGCGCUGUAGGAUACUGAUCAGCGUCCCUGGUCUCCACCCACUAGGUGCCAUUAGCAGCUCCCCCGCACUGUGAUAACCAGAAGUAUCUCCAGCCAUCGCCUGCUGUCCCCAAGGGGCCCAUCACCCGUGGGUGAGAAGCACUGGGUUAUGAAAUGAAAUAAAACUAUGCAGGAAUAGAUUGUUUACCAACUGGAAUUUAGGGCUCACCCUCCCAACCUUUUUCCAUUGUGGCCUUUUGGCAGAUGAGUGGGAUCAUGUACUUCAUAUCCCUGUUAAGGAGGAACCAUGACUUUUAUUCAGCACUGUCUCAAGUUCAAUGUAAGGACCUUCAGAGAUGCUCUGGGUUCGGGCCAUUCCAUUUCACAGGGGCUGGGGCCAAAGGCCAUGUAAGCAGGGAGAGUCAACUGGGACAGUGUGCCUCCUUCCAUUCUUUGGCCUGGGAGCCCACGGUCAGUCAUUUGUGGUGGGUCAGGAGCACUGACUUCAUGGGCACGAGUUCUCCUCCGGAAGACUGGCCCAUGUAGGGCACUAUGCUUGGCUGUUCCUCUCAAAGAGAACAUGGUAUUUGCAGAGAUGGGAGUGGUUAUUCCAUGCACGUGUUUAGAAGGCAGGCCUUGCUCUGUGUAGUAAGUUUAAAAUGCCUUUGCUGUAGUUGAACUCCCCCAGGUUUGCCACACAGAAUUUCAGGAAUUUGCUGACCCAGAAAAUGGCUGUGUCACAUUUGUAAUAGCAGAGUGGGAAUGGGGCACGUGGUUUUUGCGAAUUUGGCUUUCUCAGGUUGUGAGGACACAGACCACCCUUUACUCAGAGGGGAAAGGACGUCUCGUAGUGUUGAUGGCGGUAGCCCAUGGGGAUCCAAGAGUCCAGGGCCUGGAUCAGUCAUUAUCAGCACCAUUGGAGGGCGCCCCUGCUUGUGGGGUCUCAUUGCCACAGGAGACAGGCUUGUUUUAGCUAACAGCGUCUGCCGCUGAGUGAGCAAGGCGUACUUUCACGGCCCCUUUACCAUCCUCUGUGUUCCCACAGCUGAGGCACCAGCCGGCUCAGUCUCCACAGUCUGCCAGAGUACCCACUUUGCCCCGUCUCCAAGGCCACAGGACUAGCCCGGGUUGCUAUUUGCCCCACCCGUUGUCACCUAGAUGAUUCCUGAAGGCUCCUCACUGGUCCCCUCUUUUGUGCUUGCCUCCAUGAGACCUGUCCUCCUCGCCACCCCCAGGGAGAUGUCCCCCAGCAUUUAAUUACCAAACCUUUCUCACACACAAAAAUAGGAAGAAUUGUGUGAGGACCACUGCCAGCGAGAUCCUUUAAAAAUACAAACCAGGUCAUGGUCUCAGGAUUCAUGAGAUCGAGCCCCGUGUCGGGCUCUGCGCUGACAGCCUGGAGCCUGCUUGGGAUUCUCUCUCUCCCUCUCUCUGCUCCUCCCUCCUUCUGUCUCAGAAUAAAUAAAUGAACUUAAAAAAAUAAAUACAGGGGCUCCUGGGUGGCUCAGUCGUUAAGUGUCAGACUUCGGCUCAGGUCAUGAUCUUGCAGUUAGUGAGUUCGAGCCCCGCGUCAGGCUCUGUGCUGACACCUCGGAGCCUGGAGCCUGCUUCGGAUUCUGUGUCUCCCUCUCUCUCUGUUCCUCCCCCACUCACUCUCUGUCUCUAAAUAAAUAAAUAAACAAACAUUUAAAUAAAUAAAUACAAAUAUAAACCAGACCAAACUCCCCUCCUUGGUCUCCUCCUCUGGCCUCCCUUUAAACUGGAUAAAUCCAGACCCCUCACCAUGGACCCCAACCCCACCUACUAUGUUUUUUCUAACUCUCCAGCCACAUUAGCCUCUAAAUUCUUUCUGUCCUUAGGACUCUCGUACCUGGGAUGCCCUCUGCACAUUCACCUGCCUUACUCCUUUAAUGUCUCAGGUUCAAAUGGCACCUUAGGGAGGCCAUACCCAACCAUCCCCCCUACAGUACCCUUCUCCCGGUACUCUUUCCCACCACCCUGUCUUGUCUUCCUUAUAGCACCUCUUGUCCACCGUUCAUCCUGUCUCCGGUGCCAGACAUGGUGUCUGGCACAUGGUAGAGGCUCAGUAAAUCGUGUGGCUGCAAAGCAGGGUUUAACUGGUUAGCCUGCCUUCAGGUCAGGGCUUGAGGGAUUCUGAACAACUGAGCAUUUGAGUUGUCCCGGAAUCUGGGCAGCUUCGGACGGGGCCACAUUUUGAGGCAUUCAUUCAUCAUUGUUGGGGACCUGGGGGUUGGAUCCAGUCCUUGAAUCCAUGACCCAUGCUUUAAGGUGGCAUCAAUGUGCUUGCCGUUUUCUGGGUAUAAUUAUAAUAAUGAUAGUAAUGCCGAGGUGGAAUCCCCGCUGUGUGCCAGCCGCUCCGGAAACACUUUGUGUGCGUAAUUCCAUUUAACCCUCCCUGGGACUGCCUGGGGGACAGCACCAUCCCUGUCAGAUGGCCAGGGAACAGGGAAGGUAAGUUGCGGUGCCCAGGAUCCCAGCCACAAGUGGUUGAGGCCAGUUUGAAUGCACACAAAAAUCAGAGCCCGCAUUUCAUCAGUUUUGGUCUGCUGCCUCAGCAGAAGUUCUGUAGUCCUUAGGCUUCCGUCCUGUGGGGGUGGUUUCCGUGGUCUUUCCUGGAACUUUCCCCCAGCCUUCGGCCACUUUUAUUUCACCUCAGCUCUGCCUGUGUCGCGCCACCUAGCGGCAGAGUUAGAAACGUGUGGCAAAACUGGCUCCCUGAAUUGCGUUCUUUUGGUGAAGCUGCUGACUUUGUAUGAUUUAUUUAAUAAGUGUAUGGGGUUUCUCUUGGAUUCAAGGCGCAGAGGUGCCCAGAGCACAGGUUCUGUCACAGCCACUUACAGUCUGGGCGACUGGGGCGGAGAGGGAGGGACAGAAGGGCUCGACUGCAGGGCCGAUUUGUGUAGAAGGCGGCAGAGUGAGGCUUGGCCCCUGGGCUUGGCCCCGGGACCCGAGGCAUCCAGCUUGGAAGUCAGACUCGGGGUUCUGGUCCCAGCUCUGUCACUUACCAGCUUUGGGACUUCGAGCAAAGCACUAUCUGUCUGAGGCGUCUCAGUCUUAUCUCAUGAUUUGCAGGUCAGAGAUGAUAGACAGUGUGGACAUCACAGGAAUGUGAUGACAUGAAAUGAAAUGAGACUGGGUGUGUGAAGCACCUGCUGCUGGGUCUAGUGAGGGCCGUUCAGCAAACGUGGGUUGCGUGUUGUUCACACUGUUGUUUGAAGUAUGGGGACACAGCAGUGUCCCCAGCAUAGAUUACAGCCUUGAAAAGUGGCUUGGAUUUCAGUAGGUAAAGAUAAUGGCAGGACGAAGAGAGCAUUCCAGAAAGAAGUGCGUAAAAUAAAAGAUAGCAUCAUCUCCAAAACUAUGCCCUGUAUGAUCUCCCUGAAGCCAGCUGGGAGUUGCUUGGGGAAGAACAUAUUCUAGUACUGAAAAAGGAAUUAAGGGGCCCCCCACCCUCUCCUAGUUGGACUGGGUGGCCACUGAGCAUUUGGGACACCAAGAUCAAGAGAGGCAUCACCUAGCAACAGCAUGUUUGAGAUUGUCUAUUCUUCACCAGAGAAUUAGUUUGCGAAUAGAGUUGACACAUCAGUGACAAAUUCACCUUUAUGUUGCUGCGCUGAACUGUUUAUAAUAAUUCCUGAGCAAAGAAAUGACUUGAAGGGUUGAGAUAGAAAGUGUUGUAGGAUUAAAGCAGUUGUCACGUCUUAACAGACUGUUAUUUGUGUUGCCAAGAUGCUUUCCAUAUUUUUUGCACAGAUAAGAAGAUUAAGACACAUCAGCCCAGGAUUAAAGCUCAUUUUACACAAGUACCUUGCUGACAUUUUGGUCAAGAAUUCCAAGUGGCUUUCCAGAUGGGGGCCGUUUCCUGGCAGGUGUUUGAGUCAUCAUUUAGGAGGGGAAUAAACAGAACAGGCAAAGAUAUUCCAGAUUCCCUUCUCUGUGUUUUCCUGGGCCUACAUAUUUUCUUCUGUUUAGUUUAACAGGCAGUCCUGAGAGACAAAGGUUGGAGGCAGCCACUGGGGGUGCCAAAGCUUGUUGGGAGGGCGGGCCUGCCGGUAGUGUCUGUGUACUUUACUUCCUGCACAGCGUGGAGAGAAUGGGUUUUCAGCUUAGAUUCUGAAUAUGUUCUGCAGGGCAUUGUGUGGUUGACACUGGGAAGAUGAAGUCAGUGUACCUUGUCUCACUGUAGGGCGUCCACACAUGGGACUGUGCCUUCAUUCUGUCUUUGGCCAUCCUAGGGAUCUGCUGUUGGCCUAACAGCACCCUUGUCUGAGGCAGAUGGUCACCCCAAAACUCAUCACACACCGUCUGGUUUCCUUUGUGCUUUUCUGGAGUGUUAACUGACAGCUGCUUUCUUCCUGAUGUUAUUGCUUCUCAGAAGAAAAGAGUGUCCACAUCUUAAGCUCUAAGGCCCAGCCAAGCGGGAAAUAUGGAAGGAUGCAAAACCGAAGUAGUAACUUCCCCCUUUGGCCCUGGUACCUGGCUGGCAGCGUAGCUCAGAUGCAGUUGGAGACCUGGCGGCACCUUGGGUCACUCAAGCCUCUGAGUCUCCAUUUUCUCUUCUGUAAAAUAAAGACCUUUGUGUGGCCUCCCUCCAGAA